CAUGCACCCACGAACAUACUCAUGCAGUAAGCGAAGAGGGAAGUCAUCCGCAUUCACGUGUUCGUCCGCGCGCCUGCCGUAGCUUGCCUCAUCAUCGAGCGUCUUUACACAGACAUAAAUAAGAAAGAGGGGCAGCCGGCAUCACUCGCGCAGAAUCACAGAACGAACAUUCGCCACAUAAGCGACGCAUCCUGGAGAAGAAAGCAGAGCACCGGCUAGGGAGGGGGUUGCCUGCCUGGGCACUCGCAUUUUAUUUUCCGUGGUUCCCGAGGCAAAAGCGGAGUCGGAGCAAGUGGAAAGGUGAGCACCAAAGUAGACGCUCACCUGCCCAACGUUCCGGCCAGCACUGCCAGAGAGAAGAGUCACUAACUUCACCUCCCCCCUUUCUCUCCCUCUCACUCCCCAUUAUUGUGGUUUGACACGAAGUCCUCGCUUGUGUGUGUGCUUGCGUUGUUGGCAACAAAGAAGGAGCAUUCAACGAAGACAGUACAUCUUCCUCUUCCGCCUUCACGUAUUACCCAUCCUUUCUUCUCACUGCAGCUCGUUCUGACUCCUUCCCACUCCUCUCUCUUUUCUGUCGCCACAUACGCCGACGCACGCAUCCCCCUGAGACCCAUCAUACACGCCCCUAAGCGUUUCAAACGGAGAGAGGGAGGCAUACACGUUUUUUGUUUUGUGCUUGCUCUCUUUUUCCCACCUUUUCCGGUUCCUCAUUCUUUUUCCUCUUCCUUCUCCGAGCUUGCUUGCUAUCACACACAUCGAUUUGUUUCUUAUUAGUGUUCUUUCCUUGUGCAUUGCUCUUGACAUGUGAGGGGCGCACGUGCUUGUUUUUGGUGGCUCGUUGGUUUCUCUUCUCCCUUACUCACUCCUACACGCCCCCCCCCCCCCCCCCGCGCACGGGUUCAUUACGACGACGACUACACACGCGUGCCGGGUGUCUCACGCAGACAGGCAAGCAAAGGAGACGAAUGGCUAUCGUCCCUCCCUUUUUUUUACCAGCCCAUCUGCGAUUUUUUUUUGCUUCUUGGUGGUGGGGGCUCUCCUUUCCUUUUUGAAUGCUUCUUGUCAUUGCAGUUUCUCCCCACCCCUUCGUGACUCUCUCAUAAGCGUCUAUACACAUAUAUCCACAUACACAUAUACAUACAUAUCGUUUAGUUGUCUGACUAUCUGAACUCCUGUCAGAGGGUCCUUUCCUUCUCCAUACUUUCUCUUCUUUUAGUACUUUGCAGUACGCCGAGGAAAGAAAACUUAAAAGUGAGGGAGAGAGAGGGAGCUUACCUGCAAAAGAGAAAGGCGCGAUACGUAAAGACAUAAAUAUCUUGCUUGCGUGUCUUGUGUCUUGUGUGUGCGCGCGCGUGCGUGUUGAGGGUGAGCGUGAGAGAGAGAGACGCAACAAGAGAAACAAAAAAAAACACAACAGGAACGAAGGUUCCGAGCUCACUUGAUAGUCCGUGUGCUUUCCAUCUUCUUGCAUACCCGCACCCGCCGUUCCCCUUCUUCUCUCCCUUCUUUGCUUUCGUUUUGUUUUGCUUUCUUCCUUUGUUGUUGUUUUCCCUCUUCUUUUGCUAACUCACUCUGUCUUGCUCUGAGUGUCUCCCUGUUCUCCGACACUGCCUUACACACGUCAUCAUCUACGCCUCCUCUUCGUUGCGUGUGCCUUGUCUUUGUGCCUCUUUUGAUUGUGCUCCUGCGUUUCGUUAGUUUCAUUUUUUGUUUUCGUGUUUUUUUUUGCUUUUUGCUUUUAGUUUUUAAUGUUUUAAUUUUUUUUUUCCGCCUCUCCUUUCUCACUUGCCUUCGUUAGUGUACAUUUUUAUCGUUUACACACUCACACAUAUACGUGUAUACAUGUGUAUACACGUGUACAUGCGUAUGUAAAGGCGUUCACGCUCAUGCUUGGACUCAUACGCAUGCAUAUGCGUUUGUGAGGUUUGCGUUGUAAGACACAGCAUGAUUAUUUAUAUUUUUGUUUUCUGCUUCGUCCCUCUCCUCCUCCAGCCUCCUCCCUCUUUUUUUUUCUCUCGUUGAUUCGUGUGCGCCGCUCUGGGAACUGCGUAUGAAUUCGCAGGAGACGCAGUGCAACACUGGCUUGCAGAAGAGCAAGAGCAUCUGCCCGCCCCUUCAGGUUUAUAGUGGGCAUCAUCAGAAGAAGUCGCACCGGCACGGUGCACAUCACCCAUCAUCUCGGGCCACAGGGAACAGGCCUCCUGUCAUGAUACCGGACGUGAAGUUUGAGGUUCGCGACCCCACGUCUUCUUCACCGUUGCCUCCAAAGAGCAAACCUCUGGAGCAGCCGUCUUCGUCUAUCCUCAGAAACAUGAGCACACCGAGUCCCUCACACACACUCAAUGCUUCUGUGAGAACUGGUGAUGCCUCGAUAACAUCAUCUACCCCUGUAAAGGACAGAUCGAUCAACAGCUUGCACAGCCGCGCACCAGCGUCACAGGAGCAGCGGCAGCACUCACUGCCAACCUUCCGUGAGGCAGAGCUGCCGCUGCCACCGAGGAAGAACAGUGAUACUCGCCCCUUGCGCCGCCCAAACAGGGUGCCGCGCGACGUCGAGGAUGUCGUGAACGCACCUCUUCCGCCGUGCCGCGCCUCGCCGCAAGGGCCGACACAGGAUUCACGGGGAGCUAGGGCAGGCUUGGAUGACAACGGCGUGCAUGUGCACAUGUCAGAAACUGCCUUGAUGUCAAUUUUGCCCGUGGAGGCCACGCUCACGGCGGACGCGACAGAUAGCCGGGUGUCGGGGGAAAAGCGGAGCUUCCCUACACUCCGCGUGCCUCAUCAAAAGCAGGCAGACCCCCGAGCGAUACAUCGUCGCGACGACAUCGGCAGCAGCAGCAGCACCCCGCGCGCCACCGGCGAGCAGAGAGCGCUCGACCCCAGCAUCACAGCGCUGGAGUCGGAGACGGUCACUGCGCAUGCGAUGCAAGCGAGCGCUGUCACUGGGAGCGGCACCGCACUUCAGCCCCAUCCCCCCUUGACCUCCGUCCCUCUCGCAUCUCGCCAUCCAACCGUGGUGGAGGUGCUGCGGCGGCCGCAGCCCGCGCCGUCUGCACACGCGGGCAGUCCGCAAUCUCGUGCGUUAGAGGCCCUCGGCCGCUCUGCUUUGGCUGGGCCGAUCUCCGAUACCUCCCGGAUGCCCGCAACCGACUCCGGCGCGUCCGAAGGCAACCAUCUACUCGGGCUACUGAGUCCACACCCGCCGGCCUCGCUGAGACCACUCGACACCGAGGAGGUCAACGGGGGCUGCGACGGCGGCUUGCAGGUUCCGCCUCCGUGCUCGUCAUCGCGGCCGCAGAGCUCUCUCAGCUGCCUGAUUUCAACGGAAGACGGGAUGGAGGGCAAGAGCCGCGUCGACAGCUGCGUGAUGGUCUGCGACACGCAGCACUUACCCCAGUCGGACAGCGAGUGCCUCUCCACGCCAUCGUCGACGUGCCGCCGCUCGGCGUACAGCGUCAACGCCUCCCGAAACAUGCUUGAAAUGUUGCCCUUCACUGACUCUUUCGUUGCACGCGCUGAGAUGCCGAGCGCGUGCGUUCGCGCAAGGCCGACGCGUCCUCUCGGUCGUCGCACGCGCUCGGGCAUCGCCGGCUUGCUGACGAGUUUUGGCACUCCAGCCGGCACGACGAGCUCCAGCGCCAGCGUCCUCGAGCACGGCGUCGCGGCGAUGCGGCGCGGCAACAGCGCCCGAACGCGGCCGUCGACGCUCGAGCCUCCUCCCACCCGCAGCAGCGGGAGCGCCAGCACGGCCACUAUGCGCGUUGCCGAAACCAGUCACGUAUUGGGCACAGCACCCCCGCCACCACCUUCCCUCUCCUCGGCCACCGAGGAAAAAGAAGACCAAGCCCGUGAGCAGCCGCCGAGUCGUGACUCUCAGAAGACCUGCAAUGCGCCUGCCCUGACCACGCCUCACUCUCCGCAUCACCCGGCUGCGCACACCUUGACUUUGAAAGCGCCAAUCAGUGACUGCGGCGUGGCCCAGUCGGGCAUCGCGGCAUGUGCGCGAAGGAAGUCCAUGGAAGACCAGCAGCGGAAGCAGCUGCGCGGUAGUUGUGCCUUGCAGCAUCGCGCGCGUCCUGAAAUGUGCGGCGCGCCCAACAUCGUGGACUCGGUAACAGCCACCCCUGACGCUGAUGCCGCCAGCUGCAUUGCUACCACCCCGUCAUUCACUUGCACGACGUCACCGCAGGGCAACGCGACUCCGGCAAAGCCAAACAGCUGCGUGUCCCUUGGCGCCUCAGUAAUCUCGCUGGACGACAGCGUCAUGGGCGCUUCGCCAGGAGUUGUCGCUGCGGCGGCCGUGACGACCACGUCUGAGUCCUCCCCGGCAACACCGGCGGCCGAGGGAGAACUGGAGGCUGAUGCGCACCACCGAAGCUCGCUCCGCUCGCUGGAGAGGCAGCAGGUGAACCCCUUCCUCCGCUCCGCUUCGAUUCUCUCGAUGCGCUCCUCGUCCCUGGGACGCAGUAGCCCAAGCACCGCCGCCGCCGGCGGUCGUAGUGGACGCGGUGGGCGGGGGCACCACGGCUCCCUGCCGCUAUCGUUUGUGAAGGUGCCGCCGCUUGUGUGCGGUGCGCAGGGGUUGUCCUUCUGUUCACUCACCGCCUCCGGCGUUCAAGCCUGGGUAGAGGAAGGUGCCGUAGAUGCGCCGCUUGACGUCUGCGUGACGACGUUGUCGUCGUUGCUCCGCAAGACCGAUUCGCAGCUGCGCACGGCAGACAGCAGUGUUUGCGGUGGCAGCAACUUGCUGCGGCUGAUCCCGCGCAGCGAAUGCGCCGCCGGCGCGGGUAGCAUCCUUCGACCACGCAGCAGCUUCUGUUGUUCUCAUCUCGGCUUGUCAAGCAGGGCCAAGCGCUCCGGCAGCAGUUCCCUGCAGCGAACGCCACCACCGCCUGGCCCCCCGGUCAACGUCACAAACUUCACCAACAACGUCUCGUUUCACCACACCAUCUUUCUCAACUCUUCCACGCGGUCAGUAGUGGGGGCGAGCGAGGGCGAUGCAGCGUCGGUGGCGACGACGACAACAACGAUGACGACCACCGCAGCGCACUCCAUUACCCGCUCGAAAGCACGCGUGCUCCUGUCGCCGGUUGGGCAGAGCAGCGCCUACCAGGAUGAAGAGGAGUCCGAAGUGCAGCGCGACGUGAUGAUCGGCUUCGCUUCCGCUCAGGACGCGACCAUCGCAACACGAACAGUGAGCGAGGAGAUGCAGCCGAGCCGCCUCCGUGCCAUGGGCGCGAUGCUUGAACAUCCGGAUGCGCCGCCGUUUGCCAAGGCUGCCAUUCAGCGUCUUCACAUGCGGUGCCCCCAACUACCACAAACCCAGCCGCUCGACACGCACUCUUCGCCCGACCUCUUGCGCAGCGGACGAGACGACACCGCCGCGGAAGCGCCAGUGAUUGUCACUACGACCACCUCUAUCCACUCAUGCCGCUGCAUGGGUCAUUCUUGCAUGGCUAAGCUGCAGAACUCCAGCGCUGCCGCAGUCGGCACAGAUGAUCCGCGGUCUCAGGAGCUCUCGGCAACGCCUUUGGAUGAGGAGGUGCGAACCGGGCAGUCCAGCGCGUUUCUCAUCCCACGCAUUUGCCACGAUCGCUGCCACCUCUGCGACGUUCACAAGUACGCCAAGCAGCAACAGCGAACAACGACCGUGUUGUUGGAGUCCGUGAAGGCGAUCAAACCGCAACGACAGAACGCGCUUGUGCCACGCAGCAUAGUGGAUGCGAACAGAUCGGUGGCUGGUUGCCUAACAGCGACAGAGGUGCACCUCCCCAAGGUACUGCCGGUCAAGCGGCCCGACCAACGCUUCUCCAUCAAGCGCCUGCUCGGCCUGUGAUAAGUGGCAAAGAAGGCGAACAAAUCAAUCGCCCCCGCUUCCCCACUGGGCGCAUACGAGAUGUCUACUUUUCGUUUCCAUCUUGUGUUUGUACAGCCCUUUAGAGACAUAUAUGUGCAUAUAUAUAUAUCACCUCAGCUGGCACGCGCAUCUCUGCGUGUGCCUGUGUGCGCCUGUGCGGCUUGACUUCUUUUGAAUUGUCCCGUUUCUAUAGUGUUGGCUCAUUCUUUUUUUUUUCUCCUGUGCGUGCGUGUGUGUGUGUGUGCUCUGAUUGGUAUGCGUUGCCUUUGGUUGUAUGAGCGGGGACAUACACAGUGGAGGCUGUCUUUAUCUCCUCUCUAUAUUUUCUACCCUUCCACCUCUCCACGGUGCCGUACCCUCCCUUUGUUCUUGCCGAAGAGAAUCUGAGGGAGGGGGGCUCUCUUAGCGUUGGGAAGAUAAACAUGGACAAGGUUGCCAACGCGAGGCUAAAAAGACAGAGGAUGUGACAACAGGGGACGGGCAGGCUUAUAGCUGUGAUCACGACCGCCCGCUCGUGGAGACCUUAGAAAAAGAGGUGGGGGCAAGCAUGUUGGCCGCUCCUCGGAUACAGGGCAAGAGGCAGCCACAGAUGAAAAAAAAAACAGCAGGCGAGUAGAGGGAGGCAAUGUGGGAGAACGGCUGGUAUGCACCAUAUUUGCAUCCAGUCAGUUUCUUCCGUUCUCCGCACCACUUCACCUUUCAACUACCCACCCCCCACUGCUGCUCCGCCGCCCUUCCAUGACUCUUUCGCACCUCAGCUGUAGCCCUCCCACCGCGUCAUGCGAUGUGUGGUUUCUUUUUGUUGUUGUUUCCCCCUUUUCUGGCCGCUGUUGUGCGUGGGCAGGCGUCUGACGUGCGUGCUCUCUCUUUUCGUGUCAUAGGUUGGUUUCCGAAAAAAGAAAAAUCAACUCGUGUCAACCCUCUUGUGUCUCUCCUCCUCUGUGUUGGCUGUCCGAUGCAUGACAUGCUUGAUUCCUCAGUUUCCUUUUCUCCCUGUGGUUUGCCUUCUUUCUUCUCCCUCUACUCCCUCGAGUUUGCCAUCACCAUCACAAGCAUCUUCUCCCUCCCUCUCUCUCCCUCUAUUUUGAUGUUGACUUCCGUUCUCUCCCUUUCUGUUGUUGUAAGCCGCUGUGCUUUUUCGUUUGCGUGUGUGCCACGUGCUCUUCGGUUAUGGUUGUGAUUGCCAGUUUCUUUCGUCGUUUCGCUGUAUAUUUUGGGAGCGUGCAACAAGGAUGUGUGUACAGCUACUGCUAGUGGCAGAAGCGGAUCACCAUCACCUCAGAAGAACCCUCCCCCUUUUGCCUCGUGCUACUGUCCCUCCUUCCAAAAAAGCACCGACAACACGAGCGAGUGCCACGAGCGUCCUCCCUAUCCCGUCAUCGACACAUUUCCGUUCGUGAGCGUCAUCCGCGCGCGUCCUCAUUUCUUUCAAUAUUUCUUACCUAAGUUUCCUCCGCAUCCAUCUCUUCGUUUCUCUUCCUUCCCUCGUAUUUCCCUUCUCGUAUACACCGACUCCACCUGAUGGCGUGCGCAGCACUGAAGCACACCCCUUACAAGGCUGUCCCGAAGUCUCCUCACCUCUGGGCGGGUCGCUGUGUAUGUGCCUGUCUCUGUGUGUAUGCUUGGUGGGACUGUAUCUGAGGGUCUCGUAACGAAUGCGUGCAUGUGAAGGUCCUGAUCUCUGCUGUCCGCGAUAAACUGUUUCUUGCCUUUGGCUGCAGUUCUCUAGCGCCUCGCGUGUUCAACUUUCCUCCACCUUGCCGUUUCCCUCUCCCCGACCUUGCUUCUUGUUCGCUGGCUCUUCACGUGCCUGCGCGCACCUGCCCUUCCUUUUGCCUGUGCUUGGUUUUCCGUGUCCGCGUCUGACGGCGGAGCGCCGUUGGUAUGUGUUAUCCCUUGUCUUCCUGUCCGCCCCUUCAUCACCCCCUCCUCCCCUCCUCUUUCUCUACGGUCGUUCGUUUUUCGUUUCUUUCGUUCACCUCUUGCAAUGCUUCUGAUGACAUCGCGAUGCUUGCAG
rnacentral:misc_RNA from 1 species